UACGAUCAAAUCACGUUGAAAACAUCGGUUCUCGUAAGAUCACUGAAGUUAAGCAGUGUCGGUCGCAGUCAGUUCUUUGAGGGAAGACCGCUUGGGAACAUUGGGUACUGUAAG